rnacentral:miRNA from 1 species
CAGUGCGGCUGGAGAUGCUUGCUUGGGCUUGGGCUCCGCCCCAGAAGUUCUGAAUCAGGAAUUCAGUGGCUGAGCCCCCUGCAGUCUUUCACAAGCUCCCCAGAAGAUUUUUUUUUCCUCACU